rnacentral:rRNA from 1 species
AGCGAACGCUAGCGGCGGGCUUAACACAUGCAAGUCGAGCGCUUCACUUCGGUGAAGAGCGGCGGACGGGUGAGUAACACGUAGGUUACCUGCCCCUGGGUGAGGGACAACCGAGGGAAACCUCGGCUAAUACCACAUAUGGUCUACGGAUCAAAGGCUUCGGCCGCCCGGGGAUGGGCCUGCGUCCCAUUAUUUAAUCCUAGUUGGCGGGGUAACGGCCCACCAAGGGUACGAUGGGUAGCUGGUCUGAGAGGAUGAUCAGCCACACUGGAACUGAGACACGGUCCAGACUCCUACGGGAGGCAGCAGUGGGGAAUAUUGCGCAAUGGGCGAAAGCCUGACGCAGCCACGCCGCGUGAGUGAUGAAGGCCCCAGGGUCGUAAAGCUCUGUCGGGGGGGAAGAAGUCUGACGGUACCCCCGAACGAAAGACACCGGCGUAACUACCGU